AAGUCGUAACAAGGUCUCCGUAGGUGAACCUGCGGAAGGAUCAUUAUUGAAAUAGCACGACGGGAAGCUGUUGCUGGCCCUAGUGGCCGUGCACGCUUUCUGUCCUUCAUUUCUCCAUCUAUUUGUGCACCUCUUGCGUAGACCCCUCUGUUAGGACUGCUUUGCAAAAUUGAUUGUGGGCUUUCCUUGUUUCUACGUCGUCAUAUACACCAGUGUAACGAUUUGGAAUGAAUGGAAUUUUGAUGCAAUAUAUAUAAAGCACAACUUUCAGCAACGGAUCUCUUGGCUCUCGCAUCGAUGAAGAACGCAGCGAAAUGCGAUAAGUAAUGUGAAUUGCAGAAUUCAGUGAAUCAUCGAAUCUUUGAACGCAUCUUGCGCUCCUUGGUAUUCCUAGGAGCAUGCCUGUUUGAGUGUCAUAAAUAUCUCAACCGCACCCUAUGGUGGUGUGGCUUGGAUUUGGGGGUGGCAGGCUUAGUCUGCUCCCCUGAAAUACAUUGGCGGUGCCCGACGUGAUGUGAUAAAUUAUCCGCAUCUGUUUAUGAGCUGCCGUGUCGUGUUGGAGUUGAUAAACUUGACCUCAAAUCAGGUAGGACCACCCGCUGAACUUAAGCAUAUCAAUAAGCGGAGGAAAAGAAACUAACCAGGAUUCCCUUAGUAACUGCGAGUGAAGUGGGAAGAGCUCAAAUUUGUAAUCUGGUGGCCCUUGGCCAUCCGAGUUGUAAUCUAAAGAA
rnacentral:misc_RNA from 1 species